UACGUAGGGUGCAAGCGUUGUCCGGAAUUAUUGGGCGUAAAGGGCUCGUAGGCGGUUUGUCGCGUCGGGAGUGAAAACUCAGGGCUUAACCCUGAGCCUGCUUCCGAUACGGGCAGACUAGAGGUAUGCAGGGGAGAAUGGAAUUCCUGGUGUAGCGGUGAAAUGCGCAGAUAUCAGGAGGAACAUCAGUGGCGAAAGCGGCUUCCUGGACCAGUACCGACGUUCAGGCACGAAAGCGUGGGGAGCAAACAGG
rnacentral:rRNA from 1 species